rnacentral:rRNA from 1 species
AGUGAGCGGCAAAAGCUCAAAUUUGAAUCUGGUACCUUCGGUGCCCGAGUUGUAAUUUGGAGAGGGCAACUUUGGGGCCGUUCCUUGUCUAUGUUCCUUGGAACAGGACGUCAUAGAGGGUGAGAAUCCCGUGUGGCGAGGAGUGCGGUUCUUUGUAAAGUGCCUUCGAAGAGUCGAGUUGUUUGGGA